UCCAGUGCAUAUGGCAACCCUAUCGUAGACAUUAUCUCAGUCGAUUGGAGUUGAGAUUUCCCAUACCAUAAGGGGUUAGGAAGUAUUUGUUCACCCUCAUACUAGACGUUAUAUUGAGGCGGUAGUACAUUUGACACUCAUUAUCAGACGGAGUGUGGGGACGAUCGGUUAUUUAAUAUAUUGUAUAUUAGGUUCACGUGUAGAGGGAACCCCUAUGGACCCCUAAAGAUACCGGUAAGUAAGUAAAAAUGUAAAGUUUGAUUAUUAUUGUUUCUUAGAAUGUCUAAUGAAUUGUUAUCUUGAUUCUUGUUUUCACAUGUCGUAUCUAAGAACCUAAAAUGUGAGUAUGAAACUACGUUUUUAAAAU
rnacentral:lncRNA from 1 species